ACAUGAUUUUCUGUGUACAGCCACUGAAACAUUCACAGUAGUUUAGACACAGGAGGAAAAACAUGUGGUAUUAUGACAGGAUGAACAGAUUUGUUGGUUCCGGUAUACUUCUUUUCAUCCUAAUGAAGAACGGAAACAGAACAUUAUAGAUGGUAACAGUUGAGUCUAAUUGUUUUGGAGUAACUCCUAGGUUUUUUAAGUAUGCUGGCAGUCAGCUAGCUCCUCAAUACUUGCCACCAGUGUCCUCAAAACUUGGUGUGCUGGAGUGGGCACGGAGUCCACUGGGGGGCGGACUUGAAUUACGUAUUGUCUCUCUGACUGGGAAAACUGCAAGGGAAACCUCUGAUAGAUAGAACAUUGCAUAAAUCACAACCACUGGUAUUAAAUUUCUCUUUCUAGUAUCAGCUUCUUGUUGUUUUGCCAGAUCAUCAAAUAAAGCUAUCAGUAGGUAUCAGGUGUGAUGGAGAGCCUUGGGGGCUCACAGUCAAUCUCACAGCUCAGGUUUAUCAACUCUUUCUGCAAGGAGAAACUGUGAGAAAUUGGCUCACUGGAUUUGCAUUGAGUUAGCUUCUGCUUCAGAGAACUUAAAGAAAAUUACUAAUGUGUGACUCCACAAAGGAAUAAUCUUUAAAAAUGAGAAAACCAGCAGCCAUGGGUUGCAUUCCCAGUUUGUGUUCAUCUAUGUUGCACUUGGCACAGGUGCUGGUGUUGGCCUCAGGAAUGGGGAGAGUGUAAUUGCUGUUUCCAAGGGGUUUGCACCUGUGCAGCCCUGGUGGGACUCACCUUCUUCACUUUGCUGCUUUUACUUUGAAGGUGGAGAGGGAAACACGUCAGAAUGCUAUUUUAUGAUCUGUAGUGGCUAUUUCAGUCCUUUUAGACAUUAAUAAGGUUGCCAUUAACACUUCCAGUAGGACAGCUGAGUCCUACAGACUGAAUAAUACUGGUUCUUUCCACUGUAUGAACAUCUGAAUAUCUGAAGUUGCUCGUGGUUCCAGUUCUAGUUCAUCAUGGCUACCACCUUACCACAUGGAGAAGCCCAAGGAGUUUAAAACAUGGUGUGAAUCAUCCUGAAGAAGUCAACAAAGAAAGAAGACCUGCUGUGAGGUUAUGCAGGACAUAAUUUUAGUGUCUGAAACACAAGAUACUUGUUCCCUGUCUCUCACCUCCACAGGAUUUUCAUUUACUAUAGUAGUAAUGUGCAUUCUGUAUUUCUGUACAACCUUAUUUCAGUUGUUGGUUAAAAAUUUCUGGAAGAACGUGACAGUGCGGCUUUCUGGGGUCAACAGCUGCAAAAGCCUGGGACUUUCCAGGUGGCAUGAAGUGGGAAUGGAUUUAAUCCAUGGGUGUAGCACCAUAUAUCCACAGGCAUGGUUUUGCUCCUGCCUCGGAGGAGUGGAGGAGGCCAAGGUCUGUAACCAGAGCACUUCUGUGGGACAAAAAAGAUACUGGGCUGCAACUGCUGCUCUUUGUCCAUGAGCCCCAGUUGGCACUGGGUAUGAAUCACCCUUCUCAGUGCUGCUGCUGCUGCUGCUGCAGUAGAGGGGCUGCUCUAUCAGGCUCUUACAGAGCCAGGCUGAAUAUAGCCCCCAGGCCAAAUGAAUUUUUUAGUGUUUGGUGCUUUGUCCUUGAUCAACGCCUAUAUCAUUCCUGAGAGAUGAGACCGAAUACCUUUGCCACAGACGUAAUGAAGCCUAUUUGUCAGUGUCAAGGGGUCUUCAGCAGUUUUACAUGGAGACAGUAAACAUCUCAGAAGUACAGAUUUGUACCUGAGAAAAUGACAGUGUUCCCUCCCCAGGAUGUUCCUUUGUAGCUGGAUUGAGACACCACCCUAGAAGAGAGAGGACUAGUGAGUACAUGGGUGUUUUAUUUAGUCUGUGCUUUUUCAAACAUUGCAUUCCUCUCACUCACUGUUGCUCCAUAUAUUAUUUUAAUAUGAAAGGGCCCCUGUCAUUAGUCUUUGUUCACAUUUUCCUUUGAGCGCUUUCAGAGUGGACUUAAAAAGUCAGAGGCACCAAAAAGCUAUUUUUGUUCUGUAGGUUUUAAAACUCCAUUCAUUACCUGUUGUUUUCUUAAGGUCUGUUUAAUGCCUUUUGCUAGCUAUAAGUUCCAGAGAGAUAUUUACAGAUUUGUAAUCCCUUCUUUAGACAAAUACUGGGAAGAAGCAACAUUUUUAAAAAUAAUCUGUCUGACUUUUACUUGAACUGUGUAGAUUUUUGGUCUCUAACACCUCUUUGCUACCUACCCGCCAGACUCACUCUUCAAACCCCCAGCUUUUCUUUCUCAUGUCCUAUGUUCUCCUUGUCCCUGAGCUUUUCCUGUACUGUGAAAAUCUGUCAGGUGAAAAUCUUCCAACAGCAGGUUCAUAUGCUGUUUCAGAAACUGGGAAUUUAAAUAAACAUAGCCAAUUUAAAAAUUAAUUUACUUUAAGUAAAAUAGGAGGUUCUGUUUGUGUUGGGAGAUGCUUUUAUUUUUUAAGAAAUACUUGCUUUUAGUGUUUAAAAUUUACUGCCAGUUUCAAUAAACAGUAGAGCUUUCCAAUGUGAAAACGAGUAUAUUUCACAGAAGUUUUCCUUUCUAGCCUUUCUGCUGUUUCUCCAUGCAGGUUCUCUUUAGAAGAUAAACAGAUUAUUUAAUAAGUGAAACCUUAGCAUACUCCCAUUGAUGUGGCUGGCUUCAUACUUCAGAACAGAAAUAUAUUUAAGAGCAGAUGUCUCCCGGUGCAGUAUGUACAGGGGUGUAAGGGCAGGCUCACCAAAGCCACCACAGCCUAGGAAGGUGAUGCAGAAGUGGGAACCUCUGGGUGUAGUGAGAUAGUUGUCUGAGUCCAGCUAGUUACAGGCAGGUGUCCGUACCAGAAAGAGCUUGUACAUCCAGUUCUCUUCCAAUAGCUGCUCUGUGGAAAGUUACAUGAUUUCAUUUUUGGCACAUAUUGCAAGCUCUGAAUUCACCUUACACACAGGGAGUCAUUCCUCUGCAUUGUAGGUCUGAUGCUGUGCCGAUAUGGAAGAGUGCCCGUGUGGUUAUUCCAGGCACUUUGAUGGGAAAGCAAGUCUAAUUGCAUCUGUGAUUACUUUCAGUCUCAAGGUUAUGAAAAAUAUUUUCAACAGUGCCCCUUGACUUUGUAAAUAUGGGGUGCAUAUGUGUUUUGUCUGUGUGUGGCACGAGGGAAUAAUGAUAAUUUCAUUAUGCAGAAUAAGAUUUUCUCUAAGCCAACCAUUUAGUACUUAAUGCUCUACCUCCAAAGAACUGCAGUUCAUCUAAGGUCUCUGGCAUGAUUGUGGUCUACCAUGUGUAGCCCUGAAGUGCCAUGAAGGCAAGAAAGAUGUCUUUACUCCCACUGCUUCCAAAACACUUUCCCAGAUGUUGCACCCAGACCUGGAGGAAUAAAUACACAGUACAGGGUUUCCAACUCUUGCAGCCCACUCAGUCCCCAGCAGAGGGAACAAUGAUUUGUUGCUGAUGGUACUCCAUGUCUUUUGGGAAGUGUGUCUGAAGUUGCUCGUGCCCAUCCUGUCCUUGUCAGGGCAACCUUCGAUCGGAAACAGUCUUGGAGAGUGCAGCAUGCUCAAAACUGCAAUUGUAGACCACAGUGAAGGAAAGUUGUUUUAUUUGGGGAAGGCCAGACUGAAGCCCAAGCCUGAAGCACCCCAGCUGAGGAGAGUAAAUGUGCAGGUCUGCUGGCACCCUCCAUACACUUGGCUACUGAUGGAAAUAUGGAUCUCUUGCAUUACCUUUCCCAAAUACUAUAAAUGAAGGUUGUCACUGUAUAUUUGAACUGAAGAAAUUGUUUUGUUCCUGGUUUCCACAUGAAGAAACCAUGUCCCUGUGCUUUGCCUAAGUCAGCCCGAGAACAAGAAAUAAAAACCUGAACUUCAAGACGUGUCCCAGGCAGCACAGUAUGUUCCUGUUCUGCUAGUAGAAAUUGUUUUGCCAGACUUGCUUAACUGAUACGAAACUAAUCUCUUCCCGGAAAGAUAUUUUAUUUUUUAUUUGCAUAUUUUGACAAUACUGAAACAUAAAAGUCAAAUUGCAUACGUUCAUCAAAGAGAGAGAGAGUGAAUUAGUAAUGCAUUAAGUGAAUAAUUGGAUUAGAUUUUUGCAUCAAAAUGAUUGAAAAGAUUUCAAAGUUUUAAAGAGUUUAAGCUAAGAUCUAGCUCUUCCAUUACAGAAAGUAAGGUGUUCCUAAUGUGUAAGUCAUAGCUUUGCUGUUCACUCUUGGCAGUUUUGGGAAGGCUAAUGCUCACUGUUUUGGUUUUCUUACCUGCAGAAUAGACUUGAUAUUUGUUACACAGUACUACUAUGAAGAGAGACUUUUAUGAGAGAUUACAUUUUCAAAAAAGCAUUAUAAUGUACUUCAAAGUUGUAAAGUGCUUGAUAAGUGCUCUAUUUUUUUCAUUAAAAAAUUAUACUAAUAAAAAUAUCACACAAAAUGUAAGAAUUGUCAUUUUUCCCUUUCCCCCAUGUCUGAAAGCUAAGCUCCCCUCUUCCUCUGGGAGUGCCUGAGGAUGUUCAUUAUCAGAUAGUGUUUUUGCUGUUAAAAGAUUCUUUUCUGUCUGAAAUUUCUUAUUUUUAGUAGAAAUGCAAAAUCUAAUUAGCCAUUUGUGGUUUUCAGUGUAUGAUUUCUUCUCCUAGAGCCCUGUCAAUAAGGGUGCAGUAGGAAUGUCGCGUAUGCUUCAGAACAAUUCUGGUGUUUUCAUGGGAGCUGAAAACAGCUGACAUAAAUACUACACAUUACAUAUAUUGCAUAACAUCCUGUAGCAGAAAACAAACCAGGAAUUACCAGGAGAUGUCCUCAACCCUGCAAAACUGCAGAUCUGUUCACUUUGACUAGAAAAUGUAGCAUAUCAAACAUAGGCAGAGACAUGCUCGCUGGCUUAUUUAUUUUCUUCCAAUUUGUUUCGGGCUUAAUCCUAUGACCUCACUCUGGGUUUUUUUGGGGAAAUACUUCUCCAAAAUAAUGACAGUAGAAACUUGGGGCAUAAAGAUGUAUGUAGCAGAAUUGGGCAUGUUCCACCUAUUAAAAUGCAAAUUUCCCUGAAACCCAUUGUAUUUCAUGAAUGGAGUAAGCGGUGUCACGUCCUCUAUGCCCCCAUCCUCCCUGUCUGGAAUUACUACACAAACCUAUAUACAUCAGGUUUUGUUUCCAUGUACUUUCUAACUUUGUCUUUCAUAGAGUGAUGAAAGCUUUAAGCAUAGAAAAAAUCUGACUAGAUUGCUAAACCUUUACCCCUGAACAGUCCCCUAUGUUUAUUUCCUCAUUGUCUCUUAUUUGGAAUAAAAGUGUUAGCAACGUUUCAAAAUGCUGUGUGCCACUGCGGGAAGGAGCUGCAAAGAAGUGACAUAAUAAUUCAAGAGCCAUGGUGACAAUUCCAUGUGCAGAAAAAAAUGGAUAGAUAGGGAUGUGUGAAGAGGAUGUAAUAAGAAGGAACAUGGCACUUUUCUGUAAUAUCAGAAAGAGAGGGGAGUUGAUGCCAGAGGAAGAGAAAUGUUUACAGCUUGAGCUCUGGGGUGUUUUCUGUCCUGGUAGUAGACAGUGUUACCUCAUGGUUGCCAAGAGCCUGCUAAACUGCUGGAUAAAUGGAAGUUAAAUAAUACAUAAAUGAAAGGAGCUGCAAGUGCACAGGGAGUACAUGGAGCAUCUGCAGUUGCAGUAAAUAAGGUUCCUCACUUAAGGAAUGAAUAUAAGCCCAGAUCUGUUUCCUGGAGUUCCAGAACAGUUUCCCUGCUGGCAGAAUAACCCAUAACUAUUUAUGUGGUGGUUUUGUGGUGUCUGUCUUUGAAACAUCUGGUCUGGCAUCAAAUACUGUUGAUACCAGCUAGUUGAUGGGCAGAGGAUAACUGCUGAAAAACAUCCCACGUGGGAAGUUCUGCAUGGCACAGAACAGACCCUGCUCCCUUCAUCUGUUAUGUGGCAUAUCUUGGGCUUGUACCUACACAGAGAUUUUCUAAUAAGGAAUAUGUGAAUGUCAUCGAGUUAUAAAGUAAAAGUUCAAGAGAUUUAUUUCCCUGGGUGAAUGGUCUUCCAGAUGUCAGGGUACAUGAAUAAAGAUAUGGGAAGACAGAUGUUGGGCUGUGUGAAGGGUGAAAAUUUUUUAAAUGGCUGAACAGUAGUCAUUAUUCAGCAUUAUUAAUUCAAUAUUUGAAGAGUUUUCGAGGAUUUAAUGAGCAGCAAUUGUAACCAUGUUUUUAAGUGCCUAAGUAAGAGGAGUCAUGGUAGGUUAGGAAAAAUAAUAUGGUAAUGGUAAUUAAACUAAUUUGGUUUGUUGCAUCUGAAGUACAAAAGGCAUGGUUUUGGAGGACUUCAGAAAUAGAUGUGUUAAUAGAAGACUGAAAAAUUACUAUUCCAAUUUGGAGUGUUGACUCAUCCCUUCAAAACUUUGUAAUUAACUCCCCCAAAUAAUAGAAAAUACUCAUUUUCUACAGAGAACUGUCUAGAAAUACUUUUUCAUGCUCCAGGGUCCUGCUUGAUCCAUGUAAAUGGCUGUUAUGGUGUGCGGUCCACUAUCCAUGUAUUGCAGGGCAAAGCUGCAGAACAGUAUCGGAUUUUUUCUAUUUUGGGAUAUUUUUACCAGGUUUCAGGACUAAACAAUAGAGCUCUCAAAGGCACUUGCAAAAAUAGAGGGUCAGCAAAUGUCCACUGCUUCAGGCACCUAUUUUUAAAUUGAUAGGCUCUUUAAAACUUCACAAAUUCAGAAUAUUGAACUCACAGGAUUUUAUCUUCUUCUGGUUUUCCUUUUCUCCUCCUCCUAAUUGCCACAUGUUUUUAGUCUCUUUCUGCAGCUCUUCUUGCUUCCAGUUUCCCAAAACUGUCUACUGUUUUGACUUCUUCAUUCCUGUGUUUCCACCACCCCAGGCAAAACUCACACAGCCUGCAUUUGCUCCUGAAAGCUGAAGGAGAAUUUGAGUGUCUGAGUGCAUGAGGAGUCAAAACGUGCCCGUACUUUAAGCCCAAGAGUUUCUUAAACACUUAAAGUCAAGUGCUCGCACAGAAGAGACAGAAGUGUCUGAGUCAGAAUGGCUGAGUGUCUGACUUCGACUCCACUGCAAUCCAGUCUUGAAAUGCAGAUAGAUAGAUAGAUAGAUAGAUAGAUAGAUAGAUAGACAGAAAUACGUAUGCACCGUGGUUAAGUUCUUCCAGUUUUGUCCACCUCCUCAUGCACUGCUCUCUGGGUUGCCCUGCUUAGGCCCAGCUCAUCCCUGUUAGUCGCACUGAGGAUUUCUACCAGGAGCGCUCACGCUCUCGUCAGACAAAGCUGGUGUGGGAUAGCUGACACCAGCUGCUCAGCUUGUAGCAAUUCUGCUCCUGCUGGUCCUUUCUCCAUCAUUUGAACUCCUGGGUCUUCUGGUUUUGACAAACUCAGUGGUUAGUCUUCAUGUCUGGGAUGACACCAAACAUAAGUUUAAGAGUAUAUGAAGGAAAUUUUUUUUCUAGCCCUCGAGCAUGCACAGGUAAUAUAGCUGUUUAAGAGAAAAGUAGUAGUACUAUUCUUUCCCUAAAAAUUAGACUUGCAUAAAAUGUUGAUUAACCAUAGUGAUACUUUUUACAGUUGUCUUUACAGUGGCCUUUUUAAGAUGCAUGUGAGUGAAUAUCUUCAUAUUAAUGCUGCUGGUUUUUUCUUUCUUUCACUGAACGUAUAUAUUUAAUUGAAAACAACAAGAGGUACUCUUAGGUUGAGCUUGUAAGACUGAUUCUCCUUCAGUGGAGUGAAUACCUUGCAAGGAAUGUUGCCAGUCCUGUCUAUUCACAUAGCUCCGUGAGGGCUGGGUAGGCAAGACUCACUGAGGAGGGACGCUGGAAGCAACACGUGGGAACUCCAGCUGAGUGAUCUGUACUCACAUCCUUCCCACAGCUGAUUUCGUUUCUUACCUGAAAUGAUACUGUUUUAAUGGAUGAACUAAAAAAACUGUUUCUGGUACUUCUCAUGUAAAGUAUCCCUUUCUGCUGGGUACCCUGUUUUCUGUUGAGGGAAGGAAGAUCUAGAAUUCUGUGCACCAAGGGGAAGGAUUUCUUGGAUAUCUUUAAUAUCAUUAUUACUGAUCUGGACAAGGGGAUUGAGUGCACCCUUAGUAAGUUUGCAGAUGAUGCCAAAUUGGGGAGUGUUGAUCUACUGGAGGGUAGGAAGGCUCUGCAGAGGGGUCUGGACAGGCUGGAUUUAUGGGCCAAGGCCAGUUGUUUAAGAGCCAACAAGGCCAAGUUCUGGAUCCUGCAUUUGUGUCACAACAAACCCCAUGCAGCACCACAGGCUGGGGGAAGAGAGGCUGGAAAGUUGCCCAGCAGAAAAGGACCUGGGGGUGCUGGUCAACAGCAACUGAACAUGAGCCAGCAGAGUGCCCAGGUGGCUGAGAAAGCCAAUGGCCUCUGGCCUGUAUCAAAAAUAGUAUGGCCAGUAGGACCAGGGCAAUGAUUGUCCCCUUGCACUUGGCACUGAUGAGCCCACACCUUGAAUCCUGUGUUGAAUUUUGUCCUUCUCACUACAAGAAGGGCAUUGAGCUGCUGGAGUGUGUCCAGAGAAGGGCAGUGGAGCUGUUGGAGGGUCUGGAGCAAAAGUCUUAUGAGGAAUGGCUGAGAGAAGUGAGGUUCCUCAGCCUGGAGGAAAAGAGGGCCAGGGGGAACCUCUUUGCUUUCUACAAAUAACCUGAAAGGAAGUUGUUGAAAAGUGGAGGUCAGUCUCUUCUCCCCGAUAAUAAGCGAUAGGACGAAAGGAAAUGGCCUCCAGUUACACCAAGGUUGCACUAAGGUAGGUUUAGACUGGAUAUUAGGAAAAAAUUCCUCAUCCUGGUUGUCCAGUGAAGUAGUUGAGUCUCCAUUCCUGAAGAUGUUUAAAAUUUCAGAUGCUUUUAAGAAAGAAUCCAGAGCCUAAGAAAUAUCUGUUGUCUGAAAGUGUCUGUGGCCAAAGAAGCAAACCAAGGUAGUAUCUGGUGAGCAAAAGAGUUUAAAAGUGUGUUGAGAGAUGGACAAGGACAAGGGCUGCACUUGGAAAAUGUUGAUCUGGUGUGAUGAGUGC